UACGUAGGGGGCUAGCGUUGUCCGGAUUUAUUGGGCGUAAAGAGCGUGUAGGCGGCCAGAUAGGUCUGCUGUGAAAACUCGAGGCUCAACCUCGAGCUGUCGGCGGAAACCAUUUGGCUAGAGUCCGGAAGAGGAAAGUGGAAUUCCCGGUGUAGCGGUGAAAUGCGCAGAUAUCGGGAAGAACACCCGUGGCUAAGGCGGCUCUCUAGUACGGUACUGACGCUGAGACGCGAAAGCGUGGGGAGCGAACAGG
rnacentral:rRNA from 1 species